UAGGGAAUUUUCGUCAAUGGGGGCAACCCUGAACGAGCAAUGCCGCGUGAGCGAAGAAGGUCUUCGGAUUGUAAAGCUCUGUUGCCGGGGAAAAAGGAAGGAAAGAGGAAAUACUGAUCG
rnacentral:rRNA from 1 species